AUGAGUUUCAUUGACUUCGUUUUCUUCGUGUACAGCCGGACACACUGUCGAGACGGUACCGCAAGAUAAUUCACCCUGAAAUGAUUCCGAAGGAGACUACUCUUUUUUCUGUCCUGGCGUGGACAGUAGUUGAGUGCGUGGUGCUGGACCGCAUGAACAACUACGAGCUGUACACCGCGAGGCAACGCCCAGCGGCCAGCCCGAAGGCCUCCCGCCUUCCGAGUCCUCAAGUGAUGAGCCCCACCACCGCGGUCUUGUCUCCCACGGCCGUCCUCUCCCCCAGCGCACAACAGCUGCGGUCGGCAAAGGUGCGUACCACUCGCCAACUCGAGGAGAGGAAACAUCGCCGAUAUUGUCUUUUUUUUUUUCUUUUUCGAGGCGACUAUGCUGUAAUAGAGUAGCGACCGUGAAGAAGCAGGAAGCAGAGCGACUUGUGAACAUUCUGCGAGAUACUGACAAGCGCGUAACCUUGGUGGCCUAGGCAAUAAAUUGAAAAUUUGGAGUAUGCUUAUAAGGUUCGCCUUUUAAACGCGAUGCAUUCAAAGAUCCUUGCCUGCUUGUCAUGCUUCCUGGCAACGGCUGCUUUCUUACGGAAGCGCAGAAGUGAGCGGCAUCUGGAUGGUGGUGUUGCAAGGAACCGAGCAGGCCGCACCGCUCUAUGAUUGGUAGAAACACUGGAAAAUGGGUUGUGUUUUAGUUUCCGCGUAACAUAAUUAUGUUUUCUGCGUAUAUUCAAAUAACGAUUCGACGCUAUCAUGUCUGUAGGUUGUGUUUAGGCCGUACUUUCCGAUUUUUCUGACGCAUUUUACUUUGAGGAUUUCAAUUAUUUAAGCAACGCCACUGCGCCACGCGGACGGCCUGCGCGUUUGUGGUCAGGAAUGAUUUUUCGCGAAACGACGUCCAACACCGACAUCAGAUAUUUUGCGAGACGCGCCCCUUAACUGGUUUGGCGUUGUAAAACUUCCAGAAAAAAAAAUAACAAUCCUUUCUCGCUUCCACCUGUUGUAGAAAAUCGCAAGAGGUAUCAAUACGUAGAUCUCAACGUGACAUGAAGCCAGAAUUCAACUGUACGGUUGGUAAAAUUAACGGCAUGGGAGUAAUUAGCGCCAGUGUAGUCAAAAAACAUUGCGUUAUACCCCUGUAAAGGGUGCACCG